rnacentral:rRNA from 1 species
CAGUCGCCGCGGUAAUACAGAGGGUGCGAGCGUUAAUCGGAUUUACUGGGCGUAAAGCGUGCGUAGGCGGCUAAUUGAGUCGGAUGUGAAAUCCCCGAGCUUAACUUGGGAAUUGCAUUCGAUACUGGUUAGCUAGAGUAUGGGAGAGGAUGGUAGAAUUCCAGGUGUAGCGGUGAAAUGCGUAGAGAUCUGGAGGAAUACCGAUGGCGAAGGCAGCCAUCUGGCCUAAUACUGACGCUGAGGUACGAAAGCAUGGGGAGCAAACAGGAUUAGAUACCCCCGUAGUCCCUGUCUCUUAUAC